rnacentral:tRNA from 1 species
GCCCGGCUAGCUCAGUUAGUAGAGCAUGAGACUCUUAAUCUCAGGGUCGUGGGAUCAUACCCCACGUUGGGCG